GGGUCCGGCAACGAGGCGCAACCCUUAUCCUUUGUUGCCAGCACGUGAUGGUGGGAACUCAAAGGAGACUGCCGGUGAUAAACCGGAGGAAGGUGGGGAUGACGUCAAGUCAUCAUGGCCCUUACGAGUAGGGCUACACACGUGCUACAAUGGCAGAUACAAAGAGAAGCGACCUCGCGAGAGCAAGCGGAACUCAUAAAGUCUGUCGUAGUCCGGAUUGGAGUCUGCAACUCGACUCCAUGAAGUCGGAAUCGCUAGUAAUCGUAGAUCAGAAUGCUACGGUGAAUACGUUCCCGGGCCUUGUACACACCGCCCGUAA
rnacentral:rRNA from 1 species